rnacentral:rRNA from 1 species
AUUGAACGCUGGCGGCAGGCCUAACACAUGCAAGUCGAGCGAGCGGCGGACGGGUGAGUAAUGUAUGGGGACUGCCCGCUAGAGGGGGAUAAAUACAGGAAACGGUGGCGAAUACCGCAUACAGUCGGCUAACCCAUAUGGGAUUAGCUAGUAGUUAAGGUAAUGGCUUACCUAGGCGACGAUCCCUAGCUGGUAUGAGAGGCUGAUCAGCCACACGGGGAAUGAGACACGGUCCCGACUCCUACGGAGGCAGCAGUGGGGAAUAUUGGACAAUGGGCACAGACCUGAUGCAGCCAUGCCGCGUGUAUGACGAAGGCCCUAGGGUUGUAAAGUACUUUCAGACGGGAGGCGUUACCGACAGAAGAAGCACCGGCUAACUCCGUGCCAGCAGCCGCGGUAAUAC